ensembl:lncRNA
AAUCACUGCUUUGAGCCAUGACUUAGCAUUUCUGCUACGCUCGGGAUGAUAUUCCCUCCAUCUAUUGCACCAACUGCAUCAUCACUCAGUUUGCUGUCAUCAGCAAACUUGCUGAGGGUGCACUUGAUCCCACUGUCUAUGCAGUUGAUAAAGACAUUAUACAGCACAUCUUACAGUCCAAAGUGCUGAUCUCGUCUCCUUUCACUGGGCCCUUCUCCCUCAUUCCUGCAUCUAUCGCAGACCUGCCUAUAGUCAGAAAAAUGCCUCCAGUUUCAUGUUGCAGCAUUUCUAUGUCCCAAGGAAUUUGGACUGACAGCCUGUCUCCCUGAAUGAAAUAGCAAAAUUCCCAAUUACUUUAAUGAAACCGGAACUUCACUCCUUGGAAUAUAUCCUCACCUCACACACUUCACAUCAACCACUGUACCAGCUGAGGAUCUGUCUUAACAUAUCUUUCCAGCAAGAGAAAACUAUCCUAGUCUCACUUCACCUGUACCUGCUGGUUUUUGAACUGCAGCAAUAUAGCACUGUGAAAGCUACCAUCAUCCACCCAGUUUUACUAAUCUAGAAUUCAUCAUCAAGUUUACUCAAUUUUAGAGUGUGAUCCUCACCACUUUCUUUUGACUUCACUACUGGAGGCACAGAAGCAGAUUGUUUGGGUAUGCUGAAGGAGUUCACAGAUCAGUAUGUUCAAAAUGGGAAACACCUGACGUUUACAGAAAAGUGGAGGACAGUUCUGCUGAGGUGGCGAGGCCUCUGCAAUCUGUACAGUAAGGUGAACGUGAGAGGCCCCAAAGGCUGGAGAUCCCAAAUCAAACGUCUGCAGUUAUAUACAUACACCAACACUGCUUCAAUGUUGGGACAUGUUAUAUGGCAAUGACUUUUCUUCAGAGUGGAAGGAGGGUCUCACUGACAGAAAUCUGCAGCAAGUGGCAGCAACAUUUCUUUGUCUCUUUGUUCUGCUUUUGUUGUCUGAGAGCCAGGCUGAAGGCAUGAAGAACUGAAAGCCACUUUCUCUGGGAAGGAAGACACAGAACAAGAAAUGAUAGCAUUUCUCCACACUCUGUUGUUAAUACAGUUGCUUGUUUUAACUUUCCUUUCUUCUUCAUGCUUGGUUUUACCACUGCAGAAUGAAGGAGGGAUCCUUUCAAGACUCUUUUACUGGAAAAUUUCUUCAGGUUCAGAUCUUCCCACUUAAUGCAUUUAUGCUGCUUAGGGGACAGUGAAUUCAAUCCUCACCAAUCAUUGCUUUUGACAGGUUACCUACCCACCCGGGGUUUGUCACCAUUGAAGACAGGCCUGCUGAAGUGUACUCUACCCCUGCUAAAGGAGUCAGUAUUUCCUGUGCAAGUCAAAGUUAACACCAUUUGCAUCAGCUCUAGCUCCUGUCUCUCACUAGCACAGCCUCUCUCCCAGCUGCUACAGGCAGGGUGUUCAUGGUCCGUGCUCUCAUGGAAGUUUCCAGGUGGAGUAAAUCCCACAAUAGUAUUUAUAUGGUCUCUGCUUUAUCAUUCCAUAGGGAUAUAUCCACUCCAGAAAGAAGAUAAUCACAUGGAUCGUGAUCCAACAUAUAUAGAUAUUGGGGUGGGCUUUGGAAAGAGAAGUUUGAUACCCUGGGGUGGCUGAAUAUUGUCCUCUGAACAGCAUAGGGUAAUCUUACAAAGAGCCCUUGCAAAGCUCAGGCACAAUGAUGUGCAUUUCAGUGAUGGUAAAUAUUUUGGCUCAAGUUCCCUAUGGUCUCAUAUGUCAUAUUUCCAUCUGAAUGAUAUGAGACUUGUGCUCAUGUUUCUAAUCCCCUAAUCAAAUUCAUUCUGUUUGUCUGGAUUGUAUCAUAAUAUUUUAGUCUACAACAAACACACUCUUCAGUAACAGUGAAUUUACUUCAGACAAUUUUGUGGGGCCCCAGACAGAACUGCUCUACAGUUACAGCAAAUGGGAUUGUACCUGUGUUUGCUCCUGUGAAAAGGUUUAACAAGGUGGAUUGAAAAUGUUAUUGGAGAAUGUGGGCUCUAAUGAUUUUUUACCUGGUGGGGAGUUAUUCAUCUGAAUGUUGUUUUAUCAUUUCCAAUGUUACUUGUGGGAAGGGAAUGUCACAGCUUGCCAAGAGCUACAUUAUGUCAGCUGCCGUGCUCUAUAAACAGAUUACACACACCUUAUAUAAACAAACUGUGGUUAGCUAAUUAUCCUGAACAUAAAUACACACACACAGAAGAAAAUUCAUUUCAAUAUGAUGAAUUAUAUAAAUUUUAGUUUCAUUUCAGCAACAUAUUUCUAAUAUCCUCACAUGCAGCUUAAUAAAACUCUUUAAGAUUACCACCAUCGUGCUGGUUUCACAAGUUCAGAUUGUUGCACAGAAUCAUACCAUGUUGUGAAUUCAGUACUAAUCCCAUUGUAAGCUAUGACCUAACCUGGCAGAAAGGAUGUAUAUACUGUAAAUAUAUAUUAUGACAGGUGUAUCAGCUAGUGCCAACAAUCAACUUUCAAAAAAUAUAUCAAAUGUUGUAAAUGGAUUUUUGAACUAUUC